ensembl:lncRNA
UGAAUAAAUACCACAAAGAUGUUGAACUGCAGCUGAGAUUUCUCAAGACAGAGGAGGAAAAAAUCAAGGCAAAACUCAAUAAAACCAUCCGGACGCAGAAGAAAGAUGUCUACAACAGUGUGACACAGAAAAUUAAAGAAAUUAUGGAAGAAAGCUACAUCAAGGCCGCAGCAUUCAGAGGACCAGGCACACUGAACAAUAUGAGAGAGACUAUUGAGAGACAUGUGCACUCAAAUAAGGGCAUGUUUGAGCAGGCAAAAAAUACCAUGUUGGAGAAGCUGAAUGCCUUGAAGCAAUACAUCCUAGAGACGCUGCAGAAAACGAUGAUGGAAUCAAUUGAACUCUCACUUAGGACGGAUAACUGCUCACUUCCAGAUUUUUCAGCAGAGCUUUCAAUGGUGAAGGAAAAUUAUGACAAACUUGAAAAUAGCCCAGUCGCCAGAUGAAGAAAUGUCACUAACUGAGG